rnacentral:rRNA from 1 species
UACGUAGGGUGCGAGCGUUGUCCGGAAUUAUUGGGCGUAAAGGGCUCGUAGGCGGUUUGUCGCGUCGGGAGUGAAAACCUCGGGCUUAACUCGGGGCUUGCUUUCGAUACGGGCAGACUAGAGGUAUGCAGGGGAGAACGGAAUCCUGGUUGUAGCGGUGAAAUGCGCAGAUAUCAGGAGGAACACCGGUGGCGAAGGCGGUUCUCUGGGCAUGAUCUGACGCUGAGGAGCGAAAGUGUGGGGAGCGAACAGG